GAUGAAGAACGUAGCGAAAUGCGAUAAGUAAUGCGAAUUGCAGAAUCCGUGAGUCAUCGAAUCUUUGAACGCACAUUGCGCCCUCUGGUAUUCCGGAGGGCAUGCCUGUUCGAGCGUCAUUAUCACCCCCCAAGCCCGGCUUGUUGUUGGAUGCAGCGCUUAUCCCGCUCCUCCCAAAGAUAAUGACGGCGUCUGCGACGACUCCUGUACACUGAGCUUUCGGGCACGUACACGGCUAGAAGUCCAGACCCGGUCGCCGUCCCCACCCGCGGGGACACCCAUUACCACAAGGUUGACCUCGGAUCAGGUAGGAAUACCCGCUGAACUUAAGCAUAUCAAUAAGCGGAGGA
rnacentral:misc_RNA from 1 species